rnacentral:rRNA from 1 species
AUUUUGGGCCUUACCACCCUGAGCAUUUCCAAUCUUGGAAGCUUAGCAGGGUUGGGCCUUGUUAGUACUUUGUUGGGAAACCACCUUCAACCGGAUGAUCUCCAGCUC